CAGCUUGUUGGUGAGGUAAUGGCUCACCAAGGCGUCGACGGGUAGCCGGCCUGAGAGGGUGACCGGCCACACUGGGACUGAGACACGGCCCAGACUCCUACGGGAGGCAGCAGUGGGGAAUAUUGCACAAUGGGCGAAAGCCUGAUGCAGCAACGCCGCGUGCGGGAUGACGGCCUUCGGGUUGUAAACCGCUUUUAGUAAGGAAGAAGGGGAGCUUGCUCCUUGACGGUACUUGCAGAAAAAGGACCGGCUAACUACGUGCCAGCAGCCGCGGUAAUACGUAGGGUCCGAGCGUUGUCCGGAAUUAUUGGGCGUAAAGAGCUCGUAGGCGGUUUGUCGCGUCUGCUGUGAAAUCUGGAGGCUCAACCUCCAGCCUGCAGUGGGUACGGGCAGACUAGAGUGCGGUAGGGGAGAAUGGAAUUCCUGGUGUAGCGGUGGAAUGCGCAGAUAUCAGGAGGAACACCGAUGGCGAAGGCAGUUCUCUGGGCCGUAACUGACGCUGAGGAGCGAAAGCGUGGGGAGCGAACAGGAUUAGAUACCCUGGUAGUCCACGCCGU
rnacentral:rRNA from 1 species